rnacentral:rRNA from 1 species
UACGUAGGGUGCAAGCGUUGUCCGGAAUUAUUGGGCGUAAAGAGCUCGUAGGCGGUUCGUCGCGUCGGCUGUGAAAUCCCGGAGCUCAACUCCGGGUCUGCAGUCGAUACGGGCGGACUUGAGUACUGCAGGGGAGACUGGAAUUCCUGGUGUAGCGGUGAAAUGCGCAGAUAUCAGGAGGAACACCGGUGGCGAAGGCGGGUCUCUGGGCCGAUACUGACGCUGAGGAGCGAAAGCGUGGGUAGCAAACAGG